UGCCAGCAGCCGCGGUAAUACGGAGGGGGUUAGCGUUGUUCGGAAUUACUGGGCGUAAAGCGCGCGUAGGCGGAUUGGAAAGUUGGGGGUGAAAUCCCGGGGCUCAACCCCGGAACUGCCUCCAAAACUGCCAGUCUAGAGUGUGUCAGAGGGGGGUAGAAUUCCAAGUGUAGCAGUGAAAUGCGUAGAGAUUUGGAGGAACACCAGUGGCGAAGGCGGCUCACUGGCUCGAUACUGACGCUGAGGUACGAAAGUGUGGGGAGCAAACAGGAUUAGAUA
rnacentral:rRNA from 1 species